CUUUGCCCUUCCAGUAUUCAACAUGAUGUGAAAGCAAUAAUCAAUAAUUUGUGGUUGAAUUUGAAGUUUAUUAAUUACAUUUUUUUUACAGGUUACGCGGUCUAUUGGUGACGAUGAUCUGAAGCCUGCUGUGACUGCAGAACCUGAGAUAAUUGAGACCAUACUGUUUGUAGAUGAUGAAUACUUGGGCGCAUACUGGAAGGAAUUGCCGUUCCACCACAGCAUUGUAAUCAUCCAGGAGGUCAGUCGUAACCCAUCAUGUCCAUUUCGCUUUUGCCAACUUCAAUGCGUCCAAGCACUUAGAUGACGCUCCUUCAUUUUUGUGGAGUUCUUGCUAAGCUUUUAACUUUGUACUCUAAGUCUUCUGUCUAAUGCCAUAAAAUGUGUAUAACCUUCUUCUACCAAUGCUUUUGGCUAUACGCCCAACUUUGGGGCCAGGUGAUCAAGCGCGUAAUCAGGCUUAGAGGCGUUUGCCUGGAAUAUGUUUUUGUCAACCAACCUAUGCGCCUCCUAUGGUGGUUCCGGAUAUGGCAAGUGGUCAAGGCUAUGUGAAUAAAGUUUAAGUUUUUGUUUAUUCCGUAUAUAGGGCUAAGUCCCUUUUGUCUCAUCUAUAUAUGUGAUGAUGCAAAAAUGAUGUGAUAAUAUAUGUAUAUAAAAAGUAUAAAUAUUUUCUUUCUCAUGUAAGUCUAUACAGCUCAAUGAACAAUGUAUGUUUAUCUUUUGCUUCCA